rnacentral:rRNA from 1 species
ACGGGAGGCAGCAGUGGGGAAUAUUGGACAAUGGGGGAAACCCUGAUCCAGCGACGCCGCGUGAGUGAAGAAGUAUUUCGGUAUGUAAAGCUCUAUCAGCAAGGAAGAAAAUGACGGUACUUAACUAAGAAGCCCCGGCUAACUACGUGCCAGCAGCCGCGGUAAUACGUAGGGGGCAAGCGUUAUCCAGAUUUACUGGGUGUAAAGGGAGCGUAGACGGCAUAGCAAGUCUGAAGUGAAAUGCAUGGGCUCAACUCCUGGACUGCAUUGGAAACUGUCAGUCUUGAGUGCCGGAGAGGUAAGCGGAAUUCCUAGUGUAGCGGUGAAAUGCGUAGAUAUUAGGAGGAACACCAGUGGCGAAGGCGGCUUACUGGACGGUAACUGACGUUGAGGCUCGAAAGCGUGGGGAGCAAACAGGAUUAGAUACCCUGGUA